rnacentral:rRNA from 1 species
UACGUAGGGUGCGAGCGUUGUCCGGAAUUAUUGGGCGUAAAGAGCUCGUAGGCGGUGUGUCGCGUCGGCCGUGAAAACCUGCAGCUUAACUGUGGGCUUGCGGUCGAUACGGGCAUCACUGGAGUUCGGCAGGGGAGACUGGAAUUCCUGGUGUAGCGGUGAAAUGCGCAGAUAUCAGGAGGAACACCGGUGGCGAAGGCGGGUCUCUGGGCCGGAUACUGACGCUGGAGGAGCGA